AUUGAGCUGCAUAGCUCAGUUGAUUAGAGCAUGGUGCUGAUAAUGUCAAGGUUGCAGGUUCAAUCAGCUGAAUAUUCCUGGGUUUAACA